rnacentral:misc_RNA from 2 species
AACGCACAUUGCGCCCGCCAGCAUUCUGGCGGGCAUGCCUGUUCGAGCGUCAUUUCAACCCUCAAGCCCGGCUUGGUGUUGGGGCCCUACGGUCGACGUAGGCCCUUAAAGGUAGUGGCGGACCCUCCCGGAGCCUCCUUUGCGUAGUAACUUAACGUCUCGCACUGGGAUCCGGAGGGACUCUUGCCGUAAAACCCCCAAAACUUUUACAGGUUGACCUCGGAUCAGGUAGGAAUACCCGCUGAACUUAA